GACGAACGCUGGCGGCGUGCCUAAUACAUGCAAGUAGAACGCUGAAGGAGGAGCUUGCUUCUCCGGAUGAGUUGCGAACGGGUGAGUAACGCGUAGGUAACCUGCCUGGUAGCGGGGGAUAACUAUUGGAAACGAUAGCUAAUACCGCAUAAGAGUAGAUGUUGCAUGACAUUUGCUUAAAAGGUGCAAUUGCAUCACUACCAGAUGGACCUGCGUUGUAUUAGCUAGUUGGUGGGGUAACGGCUCACCAAGGCGACGAUACAUAGCCGACCUGAGAGGGUGAUCGGCCACACUGGGACUGAGACACGGCCCAGACUCCUACGGGAGGCAGCAGUAGGGAAUCUUCGGCAAUGGACGGAAGUCUGACCGAGCAACGCCGCGUGAGUGAAGAAGGUUUUCGGAUCGUAAAGCUCUGUUGUAAGAGAAGAACGAGUGUGAGAGUGGAAAGUUCACACUGUGACGGUAUCUUACCAGAAAGGGACGGCUAACUACGUGCCAGCCGCCGCUGUAA
rnacentral:rRNA from 1 species